GGGCCUGUAGCUCAGCGGUUAGAGCGGAGGACUCAUAAUCCUUUGGUCGGGGGUUCGAAUCCCUCCGGGCCCACCA
rnacentral:tRNA from 1 species